GAAGCGAUACGUGAGGCCCUACUACUUUGAGUUCAUCUCCCACGUUAAGAACAAGUGGGCCGACAAGACUAUUGUGGAUCUCUUUGCGGAGGAGUUCAAAGGGCGCCCUUACGACUAUUAUGUAAAUGCUGUGAAGUGUGGAAGGAUCCAAGUGGAGGAUAAG